CAAUAUAGCUGUUUAACAAAACUCAAACAAACAAAGUCCCAACAGACAUGCUAAUAAAGAAGUAGAAAAAUCUCAGGAUGUUCCACUCUUGCAUGAACAACGACAGACAGCUGCAUCUCUCAUCAGUUUGGACUUUGAAGGCAUCCCUUACAUUCUGAUUGUGCCAUCCUCACCAUCUCAGCUCCUUGUUGAAUCUGAGUAAAUAAAUGCCUGAAACACCUUCA
rnacentral:lncRNA from 1 species